rnacentral:rRNA from 1 species
GUGUCAGCCGCCGCGGUAGUACGGAGGGUGCGAGCGUUAAUCGGAAUUACUGGGCGUAAAGCGCGCGUAGGCGGUCUGGUCAGUCAGAUGUGAAAGCCCCGGGCUUAACCUGGGAAUUGCAUUUGAAACUGCCAGGCUAGAGUGUGGUAGAGGGAAGUGGAAUUCCGCGUGGAGCGGUGAAAUGCGUAGAGAUGCGGAGGAACACCAGUGGCGAAGGCGACUUCCUGGACCAACACUGACGCUCAGGUGCGAAAGCGUGGGGAGCAAACAGGAUUAGAUACCCUGGUAGUCCACGCCGUAACGAUGUCUACUAGCCGUCGGGGAGCUUGUCUCCAUGGUGGCGCAGCUAACGCGUUAAGUAGACCGCCUGGGGAGUACGGUCGCAAGACUAAA